rnacentral:rRNA from 1 species
UGGGGAAUCUUGCGCAAUGGGCGAAAGCCUGACGCAGCGACGCCGCGUGAGUGAUGAAGGCCUUCGGGUUGUAAAGCUCUGUGGAGGGGGACGAAUAAGGGUCGUCGAAUAGACGGCUCGAUGACGGUACCCCUUUAGCAAGCACCGGCUAACUCUGUGCCAGCAGCCGCGGUAAGACAGAGGGUGCAAACGUUGUUCGGAAUUACUGGGCGUAAAGCGCGUGUAGGCGGCUCGGAAAGUCGGGUGUGAAAGCCCUGGGCUCAACCUAGGAAGUGCACUCGAAACUUCCGAGCUGGAGUUCUGGAGAGGAAGGCGGAAUUCUCGGUGUAGAGGUGAAAUUCGUAGAUAUCGAGAGGAACACCGGUGGCGAAGGCGGCCUUCUGGACAGCAACUGACGCUGAGACGCGAAAGCGUGGGGAGCAAACAG